rnacentral:rRNA from 1 species
UCGGGAAUUUUGGGCAAUGGGCGAAAGCCUGACCCAGCAACGCCGCGUGAGGGAUGAAGUAUUUCGGUAUGUAAACCUCGAAAGAAUGGGAAGAAUAAAUGACGGUACCAUUUAUAAGCUCCGGCUAACUACGUGCCAGCAGCCGCGGUAAUACGUAGGGAGCAAGCGUUGUUCGGAUUUACUGGGCGUAAAGGGCGCGUAGGCGGCGCGGUAAGUCACUUGUGAAAUCUCUGAGCUUAACUCAGAACGGCCAAGUGAUACUGCUGUGCUAGAGGGCGGAAGAGGCAACUGGAAUUCUUGGUGUAGCGGUGAAAUGCGUAGAUAUCAAGAGGAACACCUGAGGCGAAGGCGGGUUGCUGGGCCGACACUGACGCUGAGGCGCGAAAGCGUGGGGAGCAAACA